AUUGAACGCUGGCGGCAGGCCUAACACAUGCAAGUCGAACGGUAACAGGAAGAAGCUUGCUUCUUUGCUGACGAGUGGCGGACGGGUGAGUAAUGUCUGGGAAACUGCCUGAUGGGGGGGAAUAACUACUGGAAACGGUAGCUAAUACCGCAUAACGUCGCAAGACCAAAGAGGGGGACCUUCGGGCCUCUUGCCAUCGGAUGUGCCCAGAUGGGAUUAGCUUGUUGGUGGGGUAACGGCUCACCAAGGCGACGAUCCCUAGCUGGUCUGAGAGGAUGACCAGCCACACUGGAACUGAGACACGGUCCAGACUCCUACGGGAGGCAGCAGUGGGGAAUAUUGCACAAUGGGCGCAAGCCUGAUGCAGCCAUGCCGCGUGUAUGAAGAAGGCCUUCGGGUUGUAAAGUACUUUCAGCGGGGAGGAAGGGAGUAAAGUUAAUACCUUUGCUCAUUGACGUUACCCGCAGAAGAAGCACCGGCUAACUCCGUG
rnacentral:rRNA from 1 species